rnacentral:rRNA from 1 species
UACGAAGGGGGCUAGCGUUGUUCGGAUUUACUGGGCGUAAAGCGCGUGUAGGCGGACGGUUAAGUUGGGGGUGAAAUCCCGAGGCUCAACCUCGGAACUGCCUUCAAAACUGGCGGUCUGGAGUGAAGGAGAGGCGAGUGGAAUUCCGAGUGUAGAGGUGAAAUUCGUAGAUAUUCGGAGGAACACCAGUGGCGAAGGCGGCUCGCUGGCCUUUUACUGACGCUGAGACGCGAAAGCGUGGGGAGCAAACAGG